GGGGAUUUAGCUCAGUGGCACAGCACCUGCCUGGCAAUCAUGAGGUCCUGAGUUCAAGUUCCAGGACCCCCA
rnacentral:tRNA from 1 species